rnacentral:lncRNA from 1 species
GCUGCCUCUAUCCUUCAACACACCUAUUAAUAGAAAUUGUUUACUUUGUUUCUAUGUAUAUAAUUUUUCUUGCUCCAAAUUCCAAACACUUUUCUUUAUUCCUCAUUUUAAAAAUAGCACUAUAAUCUCAAUGGGCCUUGACUCUUUCCAGCUUUCGGGCUAGAGCUAUUUACUUUCAGUUCUAACUAUUUACACUCCCCUUUUCCUUCUUACACUCCCAUGUUUUCUUUUGACCUCAUUUUCACCCGUCUACUCCUUGCAUACUACACUAACCCCUUUAUAUUCUACUCUCUCGAUUUUGUGAAGAUUCAAUUAAAGUAUUUUGUUUGUCGUCAAUUAAAUUAAAUCAUCUUCAAUCAUUCAAUUUUACUACUUAUUUUUCUCAAGCAUUUGAUUUGAAAUACCUCUUUAAAA